rnacentral:rRNA from 1 species
UACGUAGGGGGCAAGCGUUGUCCGGAAUCAUUGGGCGUAAAGAGCUUGUAGGCGGUUUGUCGCGUCUGCUGUGAAAAUCCGGGGCUCAACCCCGGACUUGCAGUGGGUACGGGCAGACUAGAGUGUGGUAGGGGAGACUGGAAUUCCUGGUGUAGCGGUGAAAUGCGCAGACAUCAGGAGGAACACCGAUGGCGAAGGCAGGUCUCUGGGCCACUACUGACGCUGAGAAGCGAAAGCAUGGGGAGCGAACAGG